rnacentral:lncRNA from 1 species
CUGUUUCUACACCGGUAGCAUCAACAUCGUGCAAGUUUGGUUCGCAUUUCAGCUCUGAUUUGUCUUGGCGAUGCAGGAACCCUAUCUUUUCCACUUGCAUGGACAGAUUGUUGUUUUUUACUGGUGAUUUAGGUGUUAAAACACCCAAAUCAAAAGAUAGAAUAUCGGCUACUUUUUGUCUUUUGGGAGUACUAGCUUUUUUCACCAUUUUUGACUAUUGAUACGAUUUUAGUGAUUGAAACUGUGUUUUUGUGAGAAAACUUUGCAGAGGGUUCGGAAAUGGCGGAUGAACUUGAAGCAGUGAGAGAGAGAAAAUGGUUUUGUAGAGGGUUUGGGACUUUGAUGCAACCGUAGGACUGAAAAUAUAGCGGAUGAAACUCUCGAUAUG